UGGCCAAUGACGAGAUCUAUUUUAAAAGAACACCAUCUUUCGGGACUGAAUGGCUUUUAUCGAAGUCUUUGAUGUCUAUUCUGCAAUACUGAGGCCA